UACGUAGGGUGCGAGCGUUGUCCGGAAUUAUUGGGCGUAAAGAGCUCGUAGGCGGUCUGUCGCGUCGGUCGUGAAAACUUGGGGCUUAACCCUGAGCUUGCGGUCGAUACGGGCAUGACUGGAGUUCGGCAGGGGAGACUGGAAUUCCUGGUGUAGCGGUGAAAUGCGCAGAUAUCAGGAGGAACACCGGUGGCGAAGGCGGGUCUCUGGGCAUUAACUGACGCUGAGGAGCGAAAGCAUGGGGAGCAAACAGG
rnacentral:rRNA from 1 species